rnacentral:rRNA from 1 species
AUGCACACACACAAGUCCGGCGAGCUUCUCUCUGAUAGUCCUACUCCUGCAACCCCAAGUCUCUGUCGCAGCAGCAUCCCCAUGGCCAGCCUCAACAACGCUUCCUGGUCCAGCGGCCUCUGCGGCUGCUUCGACGACGUCGGCGGCUGCUGCCUGACGUUCUUCUGCCCGUGCGUCGUCUUCGGGAGGAUCGCCGAGAUCGUCGACAUGGGCGCCACAUCUUGCUGUGCGAGCGGGACGGUGUACGCCGCGCUGGCGUCGAUGACGGGGAUGGGCUGCCUCUACUCCUGCAGACGCACGCGGGGAUGA